UUCCCCUCUGCCCCGACUAAAAAAUCCCCUCUACGCCGGCCGGUGCCCGACCGCCCGAUUCAGCGCCUCCGGCCGGAGACCGCCCCGCCGCCGACGAAGGCCACGCCGGUGAUCUCCCCCCAGCCCGCCUUCCCCUCUUUCAUCUCCUUUCUACUCCUCUCUCGGCCCCCUCGAGCUCACCUCGAUCCAUGGCCUCUCCUUAAACCUAGCUCCAGUCACGGCCACGACCGGCUUCGCAGCUCCCAGCCGCCAUUGCCUGCGCCUCCCCCUGUGUCUCCCUCACCUCGCCGUGCAGCACCGUGGCUGUACGUCGCCAGCGCCAUCAGUGGCAACCCGCUCUAAUCCACCUGCACGCCAUAGACAACGGCCAUGGAGGACGCACCUCCGGCUGCUCACUCGUCGCUGGCCGGCCAGUACCUCCACCACCAUCUCAUCCAUCUAGAUUAAGGAAUGGCAAUCUGCUUUAUGUUGGCAUUAUCAUCUCAGGAUAAUCCAUAUGUUUUCCUAUGACUUGAGGAGUUGUUGAUGGAUGAUAUACAUAGGCUACCAAGUGGUAGCUCCAAUGUUGCAAUUGAGGUCAGCAAUGGGUGCUUCUCCUGGGAUGGCUCACCUGAGAUACCAAGGCUGAAGGAUCUGAAUUUUCAAGCUCAGCAAGGCAUGCAUGUUGCACUCUGUGGCACGGUCGUCUCUGGAAAAUCAAGUUUGCUCACUUGAAUUCUUGGUAUGGUGCCAAAGCUAUUAGGAGAGGCCAAGACUUGCAUAACAGGGGCAUAUGUCAGCCACACGGCAUGGAUACAGAGCCGCAACAUUCAGGACAACAUACUGCUCGGCAAGGAGAUGGAGAGUGAGAAGUAUGGCAGGGUCCUUGAGUGGUAUUCGCUAAACAAAUACUUGGAGAUCAAAAUCAUUGGAGAGUGAGGCUGCACUCUUAGUGGCAGGCAGAAACAAAGGAGUCAGAUAGCUCGAGCAUUGUAUCGGUAUGCUGACAACUAUUUGUUCCAUGAUCCGUUCAACGCAGUUUAUGCUCAUACAGGAUCCCAAUUUUCCAAGAUCGAUGGUUUCGCCGCGGUCGUCGGGAGAAAUAUCAUCAAUGGUAAGGGAAAAACAAGUAGUCUGAGGCGGGCACCCACACCAAGCGGACGACCCAGGAAGGCAGCUCUGCAACUCCGCCUCAUGCCACUUCCCAUCUCUAUGUUUGUGUCAGACCCAGCGUAAGGUAGUGGCAGAAGAGGAGGCCGGGAAGAGAAGCUCCAAGGUAGGAGGCUUUUGAUCUGAAGGCAAGUUGGACGAUCUGCUCACAAAGACACCUCUAUUCUGAAUUUCUACUUGAAAAGAUUGAUCAGAGAAAGUUGUUGAAGUGGAAGAAGAAGAUGAACCUAUACAAGAGCUGAAAAAAGGACGUGGUAGAAAGAAGGAAGCGAAGCCUAAACAGUAUAAUGAUGUUUUAGUGUCUGGAUCUUCAAUACAAAACAGAGUCGAUUGUAUAUGUCAAUUCUGUAUUGGUUCUAGGCAAGUAGGUUGACAUGUUCAUCUAUUAUCAUGAGUGUUGUGUUUACACUUGCAGUUCAGAUAUUAAGCUUAAGCUAAAGAUCUGACUGUACUGUCUAGAGGUGGAAUGGUAAGCUCUCUUUAUGGUUCUUUUUGCUGAAUAUCUUGCAAAUGCCACACUAAAGUGGGUAUCAGUCCAGUAUGUUCUUAUGUCUAUGCAUCCGGGAAAUGUUGACGCUUUAUUGGUUUUGGUCACAAAAGUGUUCUUAUGUCUAUGCAUCCGGGAAAUGUUGACGCUUUAUUGGUUUUGGUCAUAAAAGUGUUAGCUGUACAUGCUUUCAUCUUGAUUAUAUAUUAUAUGGAGUUCUUAAUAAUACUACUUCUCAGUUAGUUCAUUGAAGUAAUGAUACAAUCAAUUGGAUGUUUUUCUACGGUUAUUGAUCUAGCAGAAAAAAUGUUGUUUUCACAUCAUUGUUUUAAUCCAAUGUUCAGCUUUCAUGCUAUAAGCUUUACUGCUUUACUCAUUUUCGUAGGAAAUGCUGAACGUUCGUAUAAAUUGAAUCAAUGUGGCCUUACAUGUAGUGCCGGUACUGUUAAAUUUGUAGAUAUCUUAUUUUAUUCAGCAGUAACUUUAUUUUCUUUUCACUUCUUUUUUAUAAAUGUCAUGGAGUCAGUUAUAAUAGUGAUUUCUUUUCCUUCUGAAAGAAAUUGUUUAUCUGCUUUGGGUUUCAAUUUUAAGGCCAUCUCGGUACAAUCUGCAACUACUUAUAGACUACUUCAUCUGGAUGGGUUUGCAACUUUGUGUACAGUUUGCUUCAAUACCUCUGGUAUCAUUCUACUGUCUGCUGCUAUUUUUCCAUUUGUUCAGUUGCUACCUCUACCCGCCAAGUUGAUUUUCUGCAGAUAGAGUUGAAGGUGAGGGUCGUCUAUGGGUUAUCGUCCGAUAUGUUGGCCACUAAGUUGAGGUGAACGUAGGCAACGUUGGUCAUGCUCAAUAGCACUUGUUUUGGAGACACGGGAGAAGACAUGGGGUGACGUAGUAGUGUGUGGGGCGGGCGGAGCGCCGGGAAAGGCCACAGCAACACCUGCGCUUCAAUCAAUUACGAUGGCCUCUGAUCAAACCAUACUAAGCCAGUGUAAAGGAAUUGACAAAGUGCAAAAUUGUUCAAACAAAUAUGACUUGGGGCAACGUAGCAGUGUGUGGGGCGGGCGGAGCGCCAGGAAAGGCCACAACAACACCUGCACUUCAAUCGAUUAUGAUGGCCUCUGAUCGAACCAUACUAAGCCAGUGUAAAGGAAUUGACAAAGUGCAAAAUUGUUCAAAAAAAUAUGGCGGGUGGUCCCACAUCUAAAAAUAGAGGGAGAACUCAGUUAUAUCAAACAUGUGCCUUUUUUGUCAAAGACAAAGAAAAGUGUACUAUGAAAGGAAAUGUGUGCCAUUUUUAUCAAA